UACGGGGGGGAGCAAACGUUGUUCGGAAUCACUGGGCGUAAAGGGCGUGUAGGCGGCUGAAUAAGUGGGAUGUUAAAUCCCCCGGCUCAACCGGGGACCUGCAUCUCAUACUGUUCAGCUCGAGCACAUCAGAGGAGACUGGGAAUUCCCGGUGUAGCGGUGAAAUGCGUAGAUAUCGGGGAGGAACACCAGUGGCGAAGGCGAGUCUCUGGGAUGAUGCUGACGCUGAGGCGCGAAAGCCAGGGGAGCAAACGGG
rnacentral:rRNA from 1 species